GUUAAUUACGUAGAACCGAAUGCAAAGUUUUCGGACAACUUUUCUAGCAGUAAGGGAACGACCAUUUGACUUCAAAUCGGGGGGGGGGGGGGUAUCGAUGGAAAUAUUUCGAACCCCAAUUGGAUAACAAAAACGUUUUACAGAUGAUACAAAAAUAUUCUAAAUCAAGAGUUUCCCCAUACAUUAUAGUGUUAAAUGUUGAAAAAAAAAUUGAUUACCAGCAUCAAUAAAAAAAAUCCCGGAAUAAAACGUUUGCGCGGAA
rnacentral:lncRNA from 1 species